AUUGAACGCUGGCGGCAGGCUUAACACAUGCAAGUCGAGCGAGCGGCGGACGGGUGAGUAAUGUCUGGGAAACUGCCUGAUGGAGGGGGAUAGCUACUGGAAACGGUAGCUACUCCCGCAUACCAUUGGAUGUGCCAUGUAUGUAUUAGUUGGUAGGUUGGUGAAUGGCUCACCUAGGCGACCAUCCCUAGCUGGACUGAGAGGAUGACCAGUCACACUGGAACUGGGACACGGUCCAGACUCCUAAGGGAGGCAGAAGUGGGGAAUAUUGGACAGUGGGCGGAAGCCUGAUGCAGCCAUGCCGCGUGUGCGAAGAAGGCCUUCGGGUUGUAAAGCAUGUGAAGCGAGGAGGCGUUACCCGAAGAAGAAGCACUGGCUAACUCCGUGCCAGCAGCCGCGGUAAUAC
rnacentral:rRNA from 1 species